AACGAACGCUGGCGGCAUGCCUAACACAUGCAAGUCGAACGAGACCUUCGGGUCUAGUGGCGCACGGGUGCGUAACGCGUGGGAACCUGCCCUUAGGUUCGGAAUAACUCCCCGAAAGGGGUGCUAAUACCGGAUAAUGUCUUCGGACCAAAGAUUUAUCGCCUUUGGAUGGGCCCGCGUUGGAUUAGCUAGUUGGUAGGGUAAACGCCUACCAAGGCGACGAUCCAUAGCUGGUCAGAGAGGAUGAUCAGCCACACUGGGACUGAGACACGGCCCAGACUCCUACGGGAGGCAGCAGUGGGGGAUAUUGGACAAUGGGCGGAAGCCUGAUCCAGCAAUGCCGCGUGAGUGAUGAAGGCCUUAGGGUUGUAAAGCUCUUUUACCCGGGAUGAUAAUGACAGUACCGGGAGAAUAAGCUCCGGCUAACUCCGUG
rnacentral:rRNA from 1 species